rnacentral:rRNA from 1 species
CCUACGGGAGGCAGCAGUGGGGAAUAUUGCACAAUGGGCGGAAGCCUGAUGCAGCAACSCCGCSUGCGGGAUGRCGGCCUUCGGGUUGUAAACCGCUUUCAUCCRUGACGAAGCUUUUUGUGACGGUAGWGGAAGAAGAAGCACCGGCUAACUACGUGCCAGCAGCCGCGGUGAUACGUAGGGUGCKAGCGUUGUCCKGAUUUAUUGGGCGUAAAGAGCUUGUAGGCGGUUUGUCGCGUCGGGAGUGAAAACUCAGGGCUUAACCCUGASCCUGCUUUCGAUACGGGYARACUUGAGGAAGGUAGGGGARAAUGGAAUUCCUGGUGGAGCGGUGGAAUGCGCAGAUAUCASGAGGAACACCAGUGGCGAAGGCGGUUCUCUGGACCUUUCCUGACGCUGAGAAGCGAAAGCGUGGGGAGCAAACAGGCUUAKAUACCCUGGUAGUCCWCGCCGUAAACGGUGGGUACUAGGUGUGGGGGACAUUCCWCGUUCUCCGUGCCGCAKCUAACGCAUUAAGUACCCCGCCUGGGGAGUACGGCCGCAAAGGCUAAAACUCAAAGGAAUUGACGGAU